rnacentral:rRNA from 1 species
CGUGAGAUGUUGGGUUAAGUCCCGCAACGAGCGCAACCCCUAUUGUUAGUUGCUACGCAAGAGCACUCUAGCGAGACUGCGUUGACAAAACGGAGGAAGGUGGGGACGACGUCAAAUCAUCAUGCCCCUUAUAUCCUGGGCUACACACGUAAUACAAUGGCGGUCAACAGAGGGAAGCAAAGCCGCGAGGCAGAGCAAACCCCCAAAAGCCGUCCCAGUUCGGAUUGUAGGCUGCAAACUCGCCUGCA